UCUGUGGCUUCAGGCAGUUCGUGGGAGAGGUGAAAAUGUGGGGACCCGGUUGUCGAAGUGGGCCACACAGCUAUGUCUGAGGAGAACAUUUCAUCACAGCGGUUCCCUGCCUGUGAAGGACCCGGUGGUUGACAGUGGUCUCCAGUCUACCAGGCUGUGAUCCAGCAACACGACAGAGACGAGGAGAUGGCCGAGUUGGCCAGACGGGCUGCCAAUCUGCAGUCCAAGAGCUUCAGGAUCCUGGCCCACCUCACCGGCACAGAAUAAAUGCAAGACCCAGAUGAGGAGGCCCUGCAGAGAUCAAGUUUGAGUCGGAGGUGAAAGGACCUCGCUUUCGCAAGCUGAAGAACUGGCACAACGGUCUCUCAGCUCAGAUCCUCAACAUCCCUGAGUCUCCCUUCUAAUUGAUCUGUCAGAUCUAUCCUUUACCGUUGGAAUGUUUGGAAUGCUUAGAAUGUUUAGAAUGUUGGGAAUGCUUAG